rnacentral:rRNA from 1 species
CGGGGUGCAGCAGGCGCGAAACCUCUGCAAUAGGCGAAAGCCUGACAGGGUUACUCUGAGUGAUUCCCGCUAAGGGGAUCUUUUGGCACCUCUAAAAAUGGUGCAGAAUAAGGGGUGGGCAAGCCUGGUGUCAGCCGCCGCGGUAAUACCAGCACCCCGAGUGGUCGGGACGAUUAUUGGGCCUAAAGCAUCCGUAGCCGGCCACGCAAGUCCUCCGUUAAAUCCACCCGCUCAACGGUUGGGCUGCGGAGGAUACUACGUGGCUAGGAGGCGGGAGAGGCAAGCGGUACUCAAUGGGUAGGGGUAAAAUCCUUUGAUCCAUUGAAGACCACCAGUGGCGAAGGCGGCUUGCCAGAACGCGCUCGACGGUGAGGGAUGAAAGCUGGGGGAGCAAACCGGAUUAGAUACCCGGGUAGUCCCAGCUGUAAACGAUGCAGACUCGGUGAUGGGAUGGCCUCGAGCCAUCCCAGUGCCGCAGGGAAGCCGUUAAGUCUGCCGCCUGGGGAGUACGGUCGCAAGACUGAAACUUAAAGGAACUGGCGGGGGAGCAC